rnacentral:tRNA from 1 species
CAUUAGAUGGCUGAAAGAUAGCCAUGGUCUCUUAAACCAUUUUAUAGUAGACUAGCGACUACUUCUAAUG